rnacentral:rRNA from 1 species
AGUGAACGCUGGCGGUAGGCCUAACACAUGCAAGUCGAACGGCAGCACAGUAAGAGCUUGCUCUUACGGGUGGCGAGUGGCGGACGGGUGAGGAAUACAUCGGAAUCUACUUUUUCGUGGGGGAUAACGUAGGGAAACUUACGCUAAUACCGCAUACGACCUACGGGUGAAAGCAGGGGAUCUUCGGACCUUGCGCGAUUGAAUGAGCCGAUGUCGGAUUAGCUAGUUGGCGGGGUAAAGGCCCACCAAGGCGACGAUCCGUGGCUGGUCUGAGAGGAUGAUCAGCCACACUGGAACUGAGACACGGUCCAGACUCCUACGGAAGGCAGCAGUGGGGAAUAUUGGACAAUGGGCGCAAGCCUGAUCCAGCCAUACCGCGUGGGUGAAGAAGGCCUUCGGGUUGUAAAGCCCUUUUGUUGGGAAAGAAAAGCAGCAGGUUAAUACCCCGCUGUUCUGACGGUACCCAAAGAAUAAGCACCGGCUAACUUCGUG